UACGUAGGGUGCAAGCGUUGUCCGGAAUUAUUGGGCGUAAAGAGCUCGUAGGCGGUUUGUCGCGUCUGCUGUGAAAACCCGAGGCUCAACCUCGGGCCUGCAGUGGGUACGGGCAGACUAGAGUGCGGUAGGGGAGAUUGGAAUUCCUGGUGUAGCGGUGAAAUGCGCAGAUAUCAGGAGGAACACCGAUGGCGAAGGCAGGUCUCUGGGCCAUUACUGACACUGAGAAGCGAAAGCAUGGGGAGCGAACAGG
rnacentral:rRNA from 1 species